rnacentral:rRNA from 1 species
AGCGGGGGAUAACUAUUGGAAACGAUAGCUAAUACCGCAUAACAAUGGAUGACACAUGUCAUUUAUUUGAAAGGGGCAAUUGCUCCACUACAAGAUGGACCUGCGUUGUAUUAGCUAGUAGGUGAGGUAACGGCUCACCUAGGCGACGAUACAUAGCCGACCUGAGAGGGUGAUCGGCCACACUGGGACUGAGACACGGCCCAGACUCCUACGGGAGGCAGCAGUAGGGAAUCUUCGGCAAUGGGGGCAACCCUGACCGAGCAACGCCGCGUGAGUGAAGAAGGUUUUCGGAUCGUAAAGCUCUGUUGUAAGUCAAGAACGAGUGUGAGAGUGGAAAAUUCACACUGUGACGGUAGCUUACCAGAAAGGGACGGCUAACUACGUGCCAGCAGCCGCGGUAAUACGUAGGUCCCGAGCGUUGUCCGGAUUUAUUGGGCGUAAAGCGAGCGCAGGCGGUUUGAUAAGUCUGAAGUUAAAGGCUGUGGCUCAACCAUAGUUCGCUUUGGAAACUGUCAAACUUGAGUGCAGAAGGGGAGAGUGGAAUUCCAUGUGUAGCGGUGAAAUGCGUAGAUAUAUGGAGGAACACCGGUGGCGAAAGCGGCUCUCUGGUCUGUAACUGACGCUGAGGCUCGAAAGCGUGGGGAGCGAACAGGAUUAGAUACCCUGGUAGUCCACGCCGUAAACGAUGAGUGCUAGGUGUUGGAUCCUUUCCGGGAUUCAGUGCCGCAGCUAACGCAUUAAGCACUCCGCCUGGGGAGUACGACCGCAAGGUUGAAACUCAAAGGAAUUGACGGGGGCCCGCACA